GGGAGAUGCAGGCAGACCAAAGGAGUCAGUGGUCAGGUUCUUCACCCUGGAGGCUCAUCACCUGUCCUCCACUCAGGAUGGCUGCAUCCACCUCACAGCCAUGGCCCUCCAGGGACAUCCACCCCACAGCCGUGGCCCUCCAGGGACAUCCACCCCACAGCCCCAUGGCCCUCCAGGGACAUCCACCCCACAGCCACAUGGACAGGGUCUUACCAUCUGUUCAUCCAGCAUCAGCCUCUCUCUCCACCUGCUUGACAACAUGGCCUCACCCACCUCCACUCAUCCACGCACUGUCCUUUCCUCCUUUUCUGCCUCCCGCCCUUGCUCCUUCCCUCUCUUUCCCACCUUCCUCUUUUCAUCCCUCUCAUUCUUACUUGCACCCUCUUCCUUCUUCCUCCCUCCCCCACUCCCCAUUACCUCUCCUUCCAUUCCUGUUUUUUAUUUUUUAAUAAAUAAUUUUAUUUUUAAUAAAUAAUUUAAUAUAAUUACCUCCUUCCUCUGUUUCUUAUUUUUUUAAUCAAAGUCUUAUUGAGCCCAGGCUGGCCUUUUAGCUUGUUAUGUAGCCAAGGAUGCCCUUGAACUUCUGGUCCUUCUUCCCCCACCUCAUUGCUGGGAAUAUAAGCACAAAGCACCAUGCCCAGUUUUCCUUUCUUCCUUCCCACCCGUCCCCUCUCCUUCUCUCCUGUCUACCCUUCCUUCUUUUCUCCCUCCAUCUCUUCAUCCCCCUGUCUCUCAGGUGAGUCAGCUCACCUGUCAUUCACCCGCCCAUUCAUUUACGUAUUGUUGCCCAUCCACUCAGUGUCCCUGCUGAGUGUCAGACACUCAGUGCUCAUCUUGAGCACCCUGACUUGGCACAUAGUUGCUAACUCCGAGUAAAUUCACAUUCUUCUGUCAGUUAGCUCCAAGCAUGAGGCCUGCGGGUGAGGAGCCGCUGACAUCAUCCUUGGCAUUAUUCUGGGCAUGCUAAACGGGAGGGCUGCGGAGUGCCAACCAUUUGAGGGAAGGCUGUGAUGGCAGAGAGGGGCGAGGGGGGAAGAGGGCUGUGGUGUGUCCCCACACUCACUGGGUUUGCGGUGGAGGAACUUUCCCUUGAUGUCUGUCUUCUCGUAUGUUCCCGAGAUCUCCUCGCAGACACCUCUCCU